UCCAAUCUUGAUAGCACACAAGAGCUUGAGUCAUUCUAGGAGUUAAAGAACUCCUAAAGGAAUCAAGAACACGUUGACUUGCACCUACGGUCUCACUUGUUGAAAUAGCAACUUCAUCUGAUGACGGAGUCGUAUAAGAAGGAGAAAUGUCUUCCAUUGACAUCUACAACUACCAUU